CUAUUCAUUAUUCACUUGUGCACUUCUCUCUGUGUUUUUUUCCCCUCGUUUUGGUGACUUGAUUAUGGUUUUUUAUUUGUAUUCUUGCAUGGGAGUUGCGUUUUUGCUUUAGUUGUUCUGAAUUAGUGUCUCAUUCGUUAAGUGUGAUUUGGUUUUCUGUGUUUGGCUCUUUGGGAGAACGGGGCAGAAAUAAAAAUCUGUAUGUUGGUUUGCUUCAUGUUCCCACUUGCAUGCGUGUUUUUCUUAUUUAUUUUCUUCCUUUUUCCCCCUGUUAUUCCUUUUAGUGUUUUCUCGAACACUUACCUUUAUUCAUUUCAUCAACUGCACUGAGGAAGAAAUUGCUUCCACACCUACAUUUUGAUGGUUUGUUUGCAGGAAUUUGAAAUGAAAUUUCUAAAAUUCAACUUGGUAUACAUUGUAUUGCCUUUUAGUAUAUUAUGUUCAUUAAACUUAAGGGGACUUUCUUUCUCUUUUUCUGUGAUUUCAUCUAAAGAAUUUGUUUUGAAUGUUAUUUACAUUUAUGUGAAAUCUGUAAGUAAUGUCCAGCAUUCUGCCAUGUUGUGAGAGAUUCCAGAAUAUUUAUUAAUUCAGUUCAUAUCUUUUUCAAUGUAUAUUUAGAGUAAUAGUUUCAGCUAUUCUAUCUUUUAACUCACAACUGCUUAAAACUGACAUGGUUAGUCUUUCUUCACUGGGUCAUUGUCAGUUUAUAGGAAAGAUAUAUUUUCAACUUAUUCAGGUUCUGAUCAGAGUUCAGCUGCUUUGAAGAGUGGUCUUUGGUUCUGUGUUAGUAACGAUGUCAAUAUCAGCUUCUGGCAUGUUAUUUGGGUUGGAUCACUUCAUCUGAAUGCGUCAUAUCUUGAUUUAUACAGUUUAGCUGAGGACAGACUGUAAGAUAGCUGAGUUGGGUGAGUAAAAGGGUUCUCUCUUGGAAUGGAAGUUUAAAUGGAGGAGGGCUCUUUGGGUUUGGGAGAAACAACUGGAGGCAGAGAUGUAUGGCUGGUGUGGUCUCAAGUUAUGAAUUGGUGCAGUUACUCUCGGUCAAUUCCUAGCAGCGUGGAUGACUUUUUUCAGCAGUCGGAUUUGUUUGCUCAUGGUCAUCUGCAAAGGAAAGUGUGGUACAGGGCAAUUUAUGCAGUUUUAUGGUUUAUAUGGCUAGCUAGAAAUAACUUGGUGUUCAACAAUGUCAAUCCAAUCUGGGAAAAUAUCCUAUGCUUAACAUUUCAUAGGAUUGCUUAUUGGGUGAAAUCCAUUGAUGAGACCUUUGUUUGCACGGGAAAUGACUUAAUUAAAUGUUUAGAAGCGGUCAAAUCCUAUUAGUACAUGGCCUACAAUGAUUUGAAAAAAUGCAGUUGUCUGGAGGCAGCAGGAUGUAUGGUGUAGGGCUCUAUUUUCUCUCCCUUAAAGUCCUUUAUAGAUUUCGAGUCGGGAAUAGAGCAGUGGCUUAUUCAGUGCUAUAUCACAAUUUAUUCUCGGGAAUAGCAGUUCACAAAACGUGGCAUGGGACAUUUGUCGACGGCUGGAGUCGUGACAUCCGAGCGAGAGGUCAGACCCAUCCCAUUCAUCCUGGUCUGAUCCAAAUGGAUCUUGUUGAAUGAAUUGAUCCAUUGUUGUAUGCCUUAGUUCUUAGUUCAUUUUUUCUUACUCGGACUUUCUUGUUAAAUGCCUUUUUCUUUAUUGGAAAAGAAAGAGGGUUGGAACAAAGGAAGAAACGAGCUUGGGCACUUGCAGAUGGAAUUUCGAUGGUUCUGCUUUUGGGAAGCCAGCAAUCUCAGGCAUUGGAGGUGUCCUCAGAGAUCACGAGGGGAGUUUCCUUUGCAUUUUUUUUUCUAUGCCCGUUGGCAUUAAGUAGUUCAGUGAUGUUGAAAUGCUGGCAAUCACAAGGGCUAUGGAGAUUAUCUCUCUCUUGCAAAUAAGAUGCACUAAGUUUUCGAAUCCUUCCACGAAUGCAACUCAACGGGUGAGGGGAAAAGCAGAGGGCUGGCUGUGGAGACUACACAAUGCUUUCUAUCCUUAGUAGUAAACUUCUAUAAGCUUUAGCCGGGUAAAUAUAGAGGAGAAUGCAGUGGCUGAUUCUGUUGCUACACAGAGCCUAAGUAGACAAGAUGAACUUCUUGCUUGGAUGUAAUUUAGUCUCUUGUGUUAGUUUUUUGUUGUACAUUCUUUCAAGCUGCUUCCUUGCUGCUUUUCCAUUUUAUUAUGAUUGAUUGAUUUUCAUCAUAAACUAAAAAAACUCACAACUGCUUUUACC